UACGAAGGGGGCUAGCGUUGUUCGGAAUCACUGGGCGUAAAGCGCACGUAGGCGGAUCUUUAAGUCAGGGGUGAAAUCCCGGGGCUCAACCUCGGAACUGCCUUUGAUACUGAAGAUCUUGAGUCCGGGAGAGGUGAGUGGAACUGCGAGUGUAGAGGUGAAAUUCGUAGAUAUUCGCAAGAACACCAGUGGCGAAGGCGGCUCACUGGCCCGGUACUGACGCUGAGGCACGAAAGCGUGGGGAGCAAACAGG
rnacentral:rRNA from 1 species